CCGGGGGCCGGGGGCCGGGGGCGGGGGCGAAGGCGGUGGGCUGCGGCCGAGGUCCGGGCGGGGGCGGCGGGCGAGUUAGGGUUAGGGCGAGAGGAUUCGGCUUCCCGGCGGCAGAGGGCGCCUGGCGCUGCGGUCCAGCGCGCCGGAGCCGCCCGCGCGGGCGCCGAGAGGAGAGGCGAGGCGAGGCGAGGCGGGGAGCACGAGCGGCGGCGGCCACUGCCACGUAUUCCCGGCAGUGGCGGCGGCGGCGGCGGCGGCACGGGAGGAGGAGUAACUCAAGUCACCUUUACUGGAAAUCAGUUGGCUGAAGUACUGAAACUGCAGUUCUUGAAGUUGAAGAAAAGGUAAACGGAAGUAAAUUUGUACCUACUAAAAUUUCUUCAAAGGGAAGCCAGUGUUUGAGAAGGAAAUGCUGUGCAGCCAAAGAGGCUGGGAAGACUGUAUCUGGAGGAGACUAAAGAGAGAAAGAAAUGUUAGAUGAGGAACACAAAGCCUUCUAAACCUUCCUGUUUCCAGGCAUGCUUCAUCCCUGGCAUGGUCAGACAGCGCAAUUCUUAAUGAAAUAAUCCAGGCUGAACUCUCUCUGCUGUUGUAAUACAGUGACUGCUCGUGAAAUCCUCAAGGAACGAAAACAUCACAGCACCAUUACAUUCGAAAGCUCCAGAAAUGAAUAUUACCAUGUCCAACUGCAAAAGCAGGGACAACAAAAUUACCAUGGGACUUGCCUAAAACAUACUCGACUAAUUUGUAAAACCAAAGGUAUUCAUCUGAAAAUAGGCAACUCCAAAAAGCUAAAGUGAAGAUUAUAGUAGACUUGGGCAAAGAAAGCUUAAUAGGAAAAAAACAAUUAAGGAUUGGCUGAAAAAGGGAGCUAAUUGCUGUCUGGAGUUGGCCAGGUAGAAUACACGAAUCUGGGAACAAAAGGGAGGAUGGAGGAAUGGCCCCACUCUCUAUCACUUCUGGUGACCCACUUGGAGAAUCUGUACCUUCUGUCUUCGUAUCUUGAGGCUCUGUUGAUGUACAGGUGGUGGGUCUCAGAGAGGGAAAUGCCUCCACCAAGAGACCUGUAAGAGUUUCACUAAACUUAAAGCAUUGGCUGGUACCCAGCCACCUUGGGCUCUUUGUGCCAAUAGAUCAGAGGCUCAGAAAAGAGGUAUUACCCCCCGGCAGAGGUAUCUGGCCCUAAUCAUCACAAAGACUACUGCUACAUAAUGGAGGCGGUAAGGAAUAUGUCUGAUAUUCAGGUGAGCCACUGAGGUUUCUUUAAAUACCCUCGUGCCCGGUUUUAACUGUAAAUGGCAAACCACAUCCUGACAAGGGCAUGGGAGCCUAGAAUGGGUGAUGAGAUGAUGACUAGCAGUCAAGUCCUUGAGACCAGUUGCAGUAUCAAGGCCUGUAUUUUGUUGCACUAACCCUCCUCUUAUAAGCUUUCCCAGAAAUUAUGGCCAGCCAGAAGCUUAGAGAAGAUAGGCCUGAAUGGAAUGAACCGCAGGAAGAGAACAUGGAUCUGAGUGGUUCAAGAGGUGGACUGCAGCGGAUGCUGAUGGUGCCCUAUGGGGAUUCCCUUCACCGGGCUGGUGCAGCUAUCCUCCAGCUACUGUGGGUGUUGGUUCUCUGGAGACCUGCCCUCGGCUGGGCUGGAGCCUCCUGCCUCAUCUGAGAAGUUGCAGUAUUCCCCUCAGCCCAUUCCCUCUCCUCUCAGGGGCAAGGACUGACUGACACGGGGCACAAAACGCCAGACUUCUUGUCUCCAGGGGAACCGACUGUCCUGCAGUACAUGCUCCAAGCUCCUGGUGAGACCAGGCCAAGCUAAUCUCUAGCUGAGACCUCAUCCUUGUUUAGCUUUUCUCCCUUCCCCUAGACUGCUUUCCUGACUCUCCUUCUGCUGAGAAUACUACCUUCAAUAAAUCACUUUCAUAAGAAUCUCCAUCUCAGAUUCUAGGAAACUUGAUCGCAGAUGGACGACCUCCUAACUUCUGGCUUGAGUGAUGACUGGGUGACAUCAGUGCCAUUUAUUGAGAAAAAAUAAAACAGUAAAAGGGGCCCAUUAGGGGUAAGGUCUUGUUUAUUUUCGAUUCCCCAGGUUCUAGCACAGAUUUUGGCACAGAGUACAUUUUAAACAAAAUUUUUGGAUUAACAUAUGAAUGAAGAAAGUGCAUUUGAUUUUAAAUAAUGCUGAAUUAGGGGUGACUUGGGACUCAAACAGAUUGUCAUAUAGAAAAUGGGAUAUAUCAUCAGUCCAGAUCUCAAAAGGUAGGUCUGGAUCAGAGAUAUUUUAAAGUUAUAGAUAUUUAAAGCUGUGAGUCUGAUUGAAAUAAUCUAAGACAUGCAAAUAAAAAAGGCAAUUCAAAAAUGGAAUC